rnacentral:tRNA from 1 species
GGGCCUAUAGCUCAGUUGGUUAGAGCGCGUCACUGAUAAUGACGAGGUCGGUGGUUCAAAUCCACCUAGGCCCA